CCUAGGCUCUGUGGUUUAACCCACAGUGCCACCUGCGUCCCUUUAAACCACUUAGGUAUGCUGGAAAACAGGGACGCGGGUGGCGCUGUGGGUUAAACCACAGAGCCUAG